GACGAACGCUGGCGGCGUGCUUAACACAUGCAAGUCGAACGGAAAGGCCCUGCUUUUGUGGGGUGCUCGAGUGGCGAACGGGUGAGUAACACGUGAGUAACCUGCCCUUGUCUUUGGGAUAACUUCAGGAAACUGGGGCUAAUACCGGAUAGGAGCUCCUGCUGCAUGGUGGGGGUUGGAAAGUUUCGGCGGUUGGGGAUGGACUCGCGGCUUAUCAGCUUGUUGGUGGGGUAGUGGCUUACCAAGGCUUUGACGGGUAGCCGGCCUGAGAGGGUGACCGGCCACAUUGGGACUGAGAUACGGCCCAGACUCCUACGGGAGGCAGCAGUGGGGAAUAUUGCACAAUGGGCGGAAGCCUGAUGCAGAAACGCCGCGUGCGGGAUGACGGCCUUCGGGUUGUAAACCGAUUUCGCCUGUGACGAAGCGUGAGUGACGGUAAUGGGUAAAGAAGCACCGGCUAACUACGUG
rnacentral:rRNA from 1 species